UUUUCCUUUCUCUGCCUCUCCCCCUGUUUGCUCAUGCUCUCUCUCUAAAUAAAUAAAUGAAAUCUUAAAAAAAAAAGAAUAUUGGAAGAAAAUUAAAGUUCUAAGAAAUGCCAAAGAAAAUCCCAAUAACUGGGAAAGAUAUCCAUACAUGGAUGGGAUUGUAUACCAUUAUAAGGUUGAAAUUACCUUCCCUAAAUAAUCUGUGAAUCUGUGAAUUCAAUAUAAAAAUCCAUUGCAUGUUUUGAGAAACUCAGUAUAUUUAUUUCAAAAUUUUUAUGGCAACAUAGAGGUCCACAAAUUAUCAUGUCAACAAAACAUGAGUAAAAAAGAGCGAUCUAUCUUGCCAAACAUUAAUAUCAAUUAAUAAACUUUACAAAAGAAAGCCGGAUAGAAAAAAUCAACAUAGGAUGUGGAAGGGCAAUUUACAGAAAAGUUUACCCAAAUGGCUGAAGAAGCCAUCUGUCCACGUGGUAAGAUGCUCAAACUCAACAGAAGCCAGAGAAAUUCAAGUCAAAUCAGCAGUAAUGUAUCACUUCACACACUGGGAUGCCAACAUUGAAAAGUUGGAUAGUGCCAAAGUUGCAUGGAGCUGGUGAAAUAGGAAAUUUAUAUCCCACUGGUGGAAGUGUCAGAAAAGCUACCCUUGUAAUACUCAAUGAAGUGUGUUUAUGCCCCAUAUCACAGUUGUCCCACUCCCACACAUAUAACCUAGUGAAUUCAUCCUUUAGGUCCAUAAAGGAAUAUGUCAGAGCCAUAGAUUGUGGAGGUGGGAAACCCCCGUAUAGAUCAUGCGGUGAGAGCUGGCUAUGGAGUACUGUAUAGCUUAGAAAGAUGGUGCAAUAUGGAUAUAUCUUAAGAAUAUGGUGUUUAGUAGGGGGGGAGGGGUGGAAUAAGAAAUAGAAUGAGGUUCAUAGGACCAUAUCACUUAUACAAAGUAAAUAUUUGCACCCUGCACCCUUAAAUAUCAGUAGUCCUUACAAGUAGGUAUACAAAAUCAAGGAAUUUGAAACACAUUGGAAUGGUUGCUGAUGGGGAAAGAGAAAUGGGGGCAAGAAGUGGGGAACCAAUGGAAGAGGCUAGACCCUGCCGACUGACCAAUGACCAAUUGCUGUGAGUUGAGUGUCAUGUUCUCAUCUGUAGUCCAUAUAAAGGCAUAAGAGGAAGAGAAUUCACUGUGUUUAAAAGAAAGUUCUACACUUGGCAUCUAUUUUGACAUUGUAUAGAUGCAAAUUUGGAGUGAUUUAUUCUCCCAAAGAGAUCUUGGUGAGUCUAGUGGGAUAUGGUACAUUAGAUCUGAUGGAUCCCGGCUAUGAUUAACUAUGUCUCCAGCAUCUUGCCUGUUUCCAUUAUGUUUUAAUGAGAACUGAGGCCUAAGGUAAUUUGGGAGUUGAUAGUUAGAAAACAAUGCUUCGUUAAGCAUAAGAUUUAUAGCAAACAUGGUUCAUUUUGAGAGGUUUUAACACCAAACAGGUAAAUUGGAGAAAGAAGUAGAAGGCUUCACUUGAAAGACUGCUGUAAAGGUGAAAGAGAUAAAGGAGCAAAAAUGAAAUAUAAGAGGUUAGGAUUGAUGGAAAUUUAUAUUGUGUAAGUUUUACUGAUCUUAAAAUUUUGUCCUGGAGAAAUAUUAUCUCAACAUUUCUUUCUACAUCUUGUUAAGUUCCUUUUCUGUACAAGGAAUGAUCCGUACACUAAUUCAUUUCAUUCUCUAACAACCCUAUGAAUGAGAUAUUGUAACCCAACUUUACGGAAGAAAAAACCUGAAGCACAGAGAGGUUCAGUUACUUUUCCUAAGCCAUGAAGGCAGAAAAUAGAGAAGGAUUCAACCCAGACAUGGCUGGCUGUUUCCAGUGCUACAUACUAAAAGUCAUAAGUAAAUGAGAAAGACAAGGAGGAGAUGGACAUGAUUCCUUGCUGGAGAUUUGCUCACCUGGCCUUUGUUUGGUGUCGCUCAGCUACUGGAACGAGUCGAGGAACAGGUACACAACCAAAUCCAUUUCCUGGUUCCCCUUGCUGGGAAGAUGUGUCACAUGGUUGAGUUUUAGCCAUUGGAAUGUGAGAUGAAGUGAGGUAUCUUAUUUCCAGGCCUGGUCAUAGUCUCCCGUAUAUGAUCUGCCAUAGUUUUGUCCUUCCAUCAACUGGAUGAACAGUAUUCUAGAGGGUGAUAAAGCUUAUGAGAUAGAAGGAGCCUGGGUUCCCAAAUGGCAUGGAAGAGAAUCACCCUGCUUUUCUGAACAGCUGCCUAGAACUAUUUAAGGUCCUGAGAGGUAGAGUCUACUCUUCACCCCUUGAAUCUGGGCUGACUUCGCAGAAGUGUUGUUCCGGAACUUUUGAGCUCAGGCAUUAAGAUCGCUUGCAGCUUCUGCUAUCCCGAGACUCAUCAGCUACCCCCAUAUAAGUGAGACUCUCCUCCGGACGGAAAGGUUCCAUCAACUCUGGGGCUGUUCCAGCAAGAGCAACUGAAGGGCCAUCCAGCCUCAGGGUAGCCUCCAGAUUGGAGAAUCGUGAGCAAAGAAAUGGUUCUUGUUUUAAGCCACUAAGUCAUGGGGUGGCCUGUUAUGUAGCAAAAGAUAACUGCUACACCAUCGGCAGCAAGCCGAUUAUUCUGGAAGUCUGCAUAUGAUUGACUUGAAACUUACUAGGAAGACGUGAGCAAAUCUGCAUCAGGAAUUCAGAGGCCUUCUGGGAGAAAAUGGAAUAAAACCUCAUUCUCUCUUCCCAGAGAUUUCAAGUUGUGGACAUUCGACAGAAGGGAUCUAAAGCCCAGACUGUAACGCAGCAACAUGACAGUACCAUAGCCUCCUGAAAUCAAAGCGGUAGUGGCAGCGAUCAGAGCUCGGGACACUCGUUAGCAGCCACAGGGCUUCCUGUACUAAGACAGUAGCCAGAGGUGGAGGGACGCGCUCAUUCUCUGCCUAGGGAGUUUCCACUGAGGACAGCCUGAUGGACAUAUUGGCAUUUCCUUGACACAUAGGGAAGGAGGGGUUGGGGGAAGGAGAGAGGCUGGAGCCUCAAGCAUCAUCCUCUGAGACAAUACUGGGGGACGGGUUAUAUUUUGACUCCCAAACUAUAAAGAUGAACAUCCCAGGGGUAUUACUAUUACAAUUUCUUGCUUUAUUUUCCAUCUUGAGAUUCUGAGAAGGAAAAACUGUUGGAAGAUAAACCAGUAACACGAGUCAAAAAGAAAUACCCUCCCACUCCCAAGCAGUGUCAGUCUUUCUUCCAGAUACAUAUUGUCUAUAGCAGAAAUAAUUUUUAGCACAUGAGGAAAAUUGUUCAUAACAUUCCCACAACCUAGUGUUUGAAAAUACGCUGUUGCCUUCACCGAAUAUAUGAAUGGUUAAUAUAUUGAUUUAAAAAAAAAAAACAACAAAAGCUCCAAAAGGUGAGUAUUUGGGUUAUUUUCCCCCCGAAUCAACAAAUCAGAACACACCUCCACCUUGCUGAGCUUGAACUCCAAACGUAUGCUUAAGGAAGACAGGACUGACAGCCCAGGGACUUGAGGGUCCCAUUAGCAGUCGUCCACACCCAUUACCCUGUCUCUCUGGAUUUCCUUUCGUGCCACGGUUCCAACACUCUUUGCAAAGAGAACCGGCAGACAGAUUCUGAAAUUUGCAUGCAGAUCCUUCUUGAUAGUAAAAAUGCUUCAAGAUGUGGCUGGAAAGGCUGGGUGGUUGACUUCUGGGCUUUGAAAGGCCCUUCCUGGUCUCAGCCUCAUUUCUCACGGUGGAAUGGUACCGACAGUCAGCCCCUCCAGACAGAGGGACCCCUCACCUCCUGUGCGGCAAGGGGUUCCCAGAGGAGACCAUGUGACCCAGAGAGUGAUGUUCUUCGGAGCAUUUGGAGGUCAAGGCUCAGAGAGGUGGGGGUGGGCAGCGAGGGACGACAGAAGCCAGAGUGUGCGAAUACGGUAGUUUUGCACAUCUUGUGCAGUGACUCUCAUUGUGGCUUGAGUUCAUCCAAUGACCAAGGCUGGACUCGGGGCGAAGGGGCGCAAGUUCACCCACCAGGUCACUCUGCCACUCCACCAGGAUGGUUGAAAGGUGGGCCUGCAACACUGUCAGACUUUUUCUCUUAGCUUCAGCUUGCCAGGUUUUUCGAUUCUUCCCCCGGAGAUGUCUCUCCAGCACGGGUUUUCUUAACUUGGAGUGAUAUUUCAAGCUGUCUGUGAGUUAGGGUGAGAAAAAAAAGUAUG